rnacentral:lncRNA from 1 species
UCGGUAGUUUUCAAAUGCUAAAUUAUAAUUUUAAACAUAUUACCUAACUUCUGCUCUCUGACAUAUAACGUGGAUUAGACUGAUUUAGAGGUAGAGUGGAAAUUGUGGGGUGCCAAGUGUCUAGCUGUGAGGCCCCAGGGGGACACUUAACCUUCCAGCUCUAAACUUUCAUGGAUAUGAUAUGUAAUACAGGAAUACCUAUUAUUGCUUACUAGCAUUUGACUGUGCCUGUGCUAAUAGUUCAAGCAAGAAGCACAUUUAGUAAAACUAGUUUACUUUAUUAUAGAAAAACUAAUGUCGUUUCUUGCCUCGUACUUGUAAUUCAUGACCCAUAAAACAAAAGUAAAAUGUUCUCUGACUACAAAUGGAUAUACAGCUACACAUUUCUGUCAUCCUCCCAUUUCCAUGCCAAAGAAAGAGUUAAGAGGACAAUACAACGUGAAGCCAGAGGUAAAAGUUACUUGAAAGCCAACUUUCAAGUUUGAGAGAGACUAAGUUCAAAUCCCAUCUUUGCUGUUUGCUGUUUGUGAGCUCCUGGAAGCAUAUUUCACCUCUCUGGAUCUUCAUUUCCUGGUUGAUAAAUGGAGGAAAUAGGUACAAAUUGUUUAGAUGAUAUAAUGUGUUAAAUUAAGAGCUUACUUAGUGCCAGCAACACUGUGCAUAUUUAGAAAAACAUUAGUACUGAACUCUUUUCCUGCCUUUCUAUUCCUUAAAUUAUUCUUAGUGAGCCUUAACUGUGGUUUCAUUCUAGGCUCUCCUAUUUGACCUAUUUCAGCUUUCUACUGUGCACCCCCACCCCUUUUUUUUUAGAUGGGGUCUCGCUCUUUGGCCCAGGCUGGAGUGCAGUGGUGCGAUCUCAGCUCACUACAACCUCCGACCCCCAGGCUCAAGCAAUUCUCCUGUCUCAACCUCCGAAGUAGCUGGAAAUACAGAACGGGUCUUACUCUGUCACCCAGACUGAAGUGCAGUGGUACAAACAUGGCUGUCUGCAGCCUCCAUCUCCUGGGCUAAAGCAAACCUCCCACCUCAGGCUUUGGAGUAGCCAUGACUACAGGUAUGUCCCACCAUGCCUGGCAAAUUUUUAUUUCUAUUUAUUUAUUUAUUGAAAUAGAGUUUCCCUAUGUUGCCCAGUCUGGUCUCAAAUUCCCAGGCUCAGGCCAUCCUUCUGCCAUGGCCUCCCAAAGUGCUGGAAUUACGGGAGUGAGCUGCUGUUUCUGGCCAUUUCCUCACUUUUAAAAAUGGAGUUUAUGAUGAUUGAGACCCUUAAUUUUAAUGUAGUAAACUUUAUCAUUCUUUUAUCCUUCAAUUAAAGGCUUCUGAUAAUGUUUUUGAAAUAAUUUUCUAUACCAAGAUGGUAAAGGUAGUCUUCAAUAUUUC